AGUGAACGCUGGCGGCAGGCCUAACACAUGCAAGUCGAACGGCAGCACAGCAGUAGCAAUACUGUGGGUGGCGAGUGGCGGACGGGUGAGGAAUACAUCGGAAUCUGCCUAGUCGUGGGGGAUAACGUAGGGAAACUUACGCUAAUACCGCAUACGACCUACGGGUGAAAGCGGGGGAUCGCAAGACCUCGCGCGAUUAGAUGAGCCGAUGUCCGAUUAGCUAGUUGGCGGGGUAAUGGCCCACCAAGGCGACGAUCGGUAGCUGGUCUGAGAGGAUGAUCAGCCACACUGGAACUGAGACACGGUCCAGACUCCUACGGGAGGCAGCAGUGGGGAAUAUUGGACAAUGGGGGCAACCCUGAUCCAGCAAUGCCGCGUGAGUGAUGAAGGCCUUAGGGUUGUAAAGCUCUUUUGCCAGGGAAGAUGAUGACUGUACCUGGAGAAUAAGCCCCGGCUAACUUCGUGCCAGCAGCCGCGGUAAU
rnacentral:rRNA from 1 species